rnacentral:lncRNA from 1 species
ACCCACACAAAUUACACUGAAAAACUCUGCUGACUUACAAAUUAAGCCCAAUAGGAAAAAUACAUUGUACAAUUACAGUCCCAACCCACACAAAUUACACUGUAGAACUCUACUCAUUUACGGUGUAAGCCCAACAGGAAAAAUACACUUUACAAUUACAUUCCUCACCCAGAAAGAUUACAGUGUAAAACUCUGCUCACUUAUGGUCUAAGCCCUAGGAAAAAUACACUGUAAGCCCUACAACAAAAUAUAGUCCUCACCCACAAAAAUUAUAGUGUAAAACUCUACUCAAUUACGGUGUAAGCCCUAUGAAAAAUACAAGCUAAGCCCAAACCACAAAUUACAGUCCUCAUCAACACAAAAUACAGUGGAAAACUCUGCUAAUUUACAGUGUAAGCCCUAUGGUUAAUUGCAGUGGAAAACUCUGCUAAUUUACAGUGUAAGCCCUAUGGUUAGUUGCAGUGUAAGCCAUAUGGUUAAUUACAUUCCUCACCCACACAAAUUACAGUGUAAAACUCCAGGAAAAUACACCGAACUUCAGAAAUACAUUACAAAAAUUCAUCGGGCAUACAACUGCAUCAAAAGAAAACUAGGGGAGUACAGUCUAAGUCAGAGAUACAUCAAAUAGAAAUUAUGAAAAAAUACAGUAUCAAUCAUACUAUGAUGAAGGCAGUGCUACUACACAUGCAUAGUGAAGAACAAGAGGGGUAUUACAGACUAGAACAGGGCCAAAGGAUACAAUAUUUACAAAGGCCAAAGGAUACAAUACCCACACACUAAUUAGGGAGCAAGUUGCACAUCAACUAUGACAACAUAAACACUGGGAAAAAUACUGCAAGGGGUACAAUAUUAACUAAAAAAGAAGAAAGUACAGCAAAGCUACAUAUGGCACAUAAGCAAGCAGUGAAGUUCUACAACACAGAGAUGCAUAUAGGUCAACUGCACAGAGAUGAAGGGAGAGAAAAUGCACAGCAGAACUUCAUGCGCAUACCACUGCAGACCCUUGAUCUUACAUACACUCCUAUUAUGGAGAAAACACUGAAAAACAAGCAUGUAAUUCAGGAAAAUGCACAACAAAAGGAGCAAAAUACAUAGAGAUGUUCAGUAAAACAUCCGGGAUGAACAACAACAUGGUAAAAAAUGAGACUAACAUGACAAAAUUCUGGGGCUACAACCAGGAACUAUUCAGGGACAAGCUACGGGAUCCGCCGCUGAAAACUAACGCCUACAACGCCUACCUCAACAUCAACUGCAGAAAAACUUACCUCUACGCCUACCUACACAUCAACAACGAGAACCAAAAAACCGCAGGGGGGAGGGAUUUCGUGUGCGACCACAACAACAACACACGGGAUCACGGCGAAACCUGCCCGUGGCGCACUGCAGGCUCCUACCAGAAAUUCACGCGCACACCCCAAAGGCGACACCGCGACAGCAACAUGCGCAGCCCGCGGAUCCGCGAAAUCACCUAGAUCUGAAACUACAAGGGCACGAAAACCACGGGCAAAAAGCGCAAGAGAGAGGGGACAACCAACCAGAGCAGCCGCGGACGACGAGAAACAAGAGGAAGAAGUCAGUAUCCUGCCGUGGAUGAGCUCGAAAUCACCAUGAACACAAGGAAUCGCCUCCCCCUCCUCCGCCGCUCGACCUCUCCCCUCUGCCUUAUCGGAAUGGAAAUGGGGAAUGACACCCCGCUCCUAAAUUCAAUAAUGACAAAAGCCAACAGUACCCGGCCG